UGGUACAGCGGUCUGAGUUUCUACGGAUACCGUCCGUUUAUCCGUCUGUCCAUUCCAGUUGCUCGCGUGCCACCUGGCAAAUCGUGGUGCCAGAUUCUUCGUGUCUCAUUAUUUUUCUUUUUUCUCCCUUCGUCUUAGAACGGACGUAACUAGCUCGAUACUCGUGAGAACGCGAGCGUGUGAACCGGAAUAAAUAGUAUCGAGUACGUAGACGUUUUUUUGUGGCACGUUCGAGAUCAGUCUUGGCGCGUGCCGAUUUCAGCAAGACCGCCAACGAGAAUUUCCGAGUUUUUAGUGCGACCAACUCAUAUCGGCUCCUUCAUUCGCGCCGCGGGAAGUCGCGUGCCGGCUUUGAUACUUGUUCCGUACGUCUGAUCGAUAUUACGUGAAGUGAAAUUAAUGACAACUGCUUCAGAUUACUCUCGUUGUAAUUUCACUUCCACAUGCGUAAUCCACUUUCACGAAACCGGUAUUGUGGUGUGGCGACACUCGAUCUAUCGGGAUCUCGGCAAGCCGCCCGGUCGGUCGAAAUUAUAAUGCGAAUCUGCCAAUAAAGUUGGCCACGAAUACCUAAAACCGGUUGUUAUAUGGGAUUAUAUUCUCUUUGUCGGACUCUCAGGGUUCAUAGUGCGCUAGUGGACGUGCUGUAGGUGCAAAACAGUCUCAUGUGUUACAUGGUGUGCUGAGCUAAAAACGAAGACUGCGGAAAAAAAAGAAGUGAGGGACCCCCGGUGGAAUUUCUUUAGCCAACUUUGCGAAACGGUCAAAAUGGGAACGUGCUGGUUCGUAGUAUGGGUGCUCUUCGUCUGUUUUAUUGGAGAUGCACGGCCACAAUACAGGGACAAAAA